AGACCAGGCCCGGACUGGCCGUUUGUGAAUACGGGCAAAUGCCCGUUGGGCCGCUGCCUGUGCAGUGUAAAUGGGCCGCGGGGCAGUGCGCACCGCACCAUAACAAAAUUAAGGAGCUUACUUCCUCCCGCAAGAUCCUCUGUGCGCACAGUAGCAGACGAUAAACAGAUCAUUUUCUUCAGUCUGAAGAGCUCACCCCAAGGGCCGCGUAUGUUUUCUUUUCUGUUUUUUUUUUUCCGUGUCUGGACUGCUGAGGGGGGUGGGGGUUUAAGCAAGUAUGCGGAGGAGAGGUGGGACUGAAAGAAGAAGCGUCCUAUACGUCACCUGUGUGCUCUCAGCUAUGGGACAGUCACAGAUAACAGCCAAUUGCAGCUCAAUUCAAAAGGAAAUGCCAUUGUGGAUGAAAAUGUACGAGAAGAAAUAAUUUAGCUGCUGCCGCUGAAGAAUUGUAAGGCCUCACAAGUGACGGUGGCCAGACAGUUUGAAAAACUGUUUAUCACUCAGAGCUGUAGACCUUUAUACUGAACCUGACUUAAAAAUAUAUGUUUUUCCCCAACAGCCUAUUGUCACUGUAAUAAAAAUAUAUUUCUUUUA